UACAGAGGUCUCGAGCGUUAGGCGGAAUCACUGGGCUUAAAGCGUGUGUAGGCGGAUCGUUAAGUGCCUUGUGAAAUCCCACGGCUCAACCGUGGAACUGCUUGGCAUACUGGCGGUCUUGAGCAACCUAGGGGCGAGCGGAACAAAUGGUGGAGCGGUGAAAUGCGUAGAUAUCGUUUGGAACGCCGACGGCGAAAGCAGCUGACUGGGGGUGAUCUGACGCUGAGACACGAAAGCCAGGGGAGCGAACGGG
rnacentral:rRNA from 1 species